GCAAUGCCGCGUGUGUGAAGAAGGCCUUCGGGUUGUAAAGCACUUUUAUCAGGAGCGAAAUACUGCCGGCUAAUACCCGGCGGGGCUGACGGUACCUGAGGAAUAAGCACCGGCUAACUUCGUGCCAGCAGCCGCGGUAAUACGAAGGGUGCAAGCGUUAAUCGGAAUUACUGGGCGUAAAGCGUGCGUAGGCGGUUCUUUAAGUCUGCUGUGAAAUCCCCGGGCUCAACCUGGGAAUGGCAGUGGAUACUGGAGAGCUAGAGUGUGAUAGAAGAUGGUGGAAUUCCCGGUGUAGCGGUGAAAUGCGUAGAGAUCGGGAGGAACAUCAGUGGCGAAGGCGGCCAUCUGGAUCAACACUGACGCUGAGGCACGAAAGCGUGGGGAGCAAACAGGAUUAGAUACCCUGGUAGUCCACGCCCUAAACGAUGCGAACUGGAUGUUGGUCUCAACUCGGAGAUCAGUGUCGAAGCUAACGCGUUAAGUUCGCCGCCUGGGGAGUACGGUCGCAAGACUGAAACUCAAAGGAAUUGACGGGGGCCCGCACAAGCGGUGGAGUAUGUGGUUUAAUUCGAUGCAACGCGAAGAACCUUACCUGGCCUUGACAUGUCUGGAAUC
rnacentral:rRNA from 1 species